rnacentral:rRNA from 1 species
GACAGAGGGGGCAAGCGUUGCUCGGAAUCACUGGGCGUAAAGGGUGCGUAGGCGGGUCUUUAAGUCAGGGGUGAAAUCCUGGAGCUCAACUCCAGAACUGCCUUUGAUACUGAAGAUCUUGAGUGCGGGAGAGGUGAGUGGAACUGCGAGUGUAGAGGUGAAAUUCGUAGAUAUUCGCAAGAACACCAGUGGCGAAGGCGGCUCACUGGCCCGAUACUGACGCUGAGGCACGAAAGCGUGGGGAGCAAACAGG